ACUCCUGCGGGAGGCAGCAGUGGGGAAUAUUGGACAAUGGGCGCAAGCCUGAUCCAGCCAUGCCGCGUGAGUGAUGAAGGCCCUAGGGUUGUAAAGCUCUUUCACCGGUGAAGAUAAUGACGGUAACCGGAGAAGAAGCCCCGGCUAACUUCGUGCCAGCAGCCGCGGUAAUACGAAGGGGGCUAGCGUUGUUCGGAUUUACUGGGCGUAAAGCGCACGUAGGCGGACUAUUAAGUCAGGGGUGAAAUCCCGGGGCUCAACCCCGGAACUGCCUUUGAUACUGGUAGUCUUGAGUUCGGGAGAGGUGAGUGGAAUUCCGAGUGUAGAGGUGAAAUUCGUAGAUAUUCGGAGGAACACCAGUGGCGAAGGCGGCUCACUGGCUCGAUACUGACGCUGAGGUGCGAAAGCGUGGGGAGCAAACAGGAUUAGAAACCCCGGUAGUCCCA
rnacentral:rRNA from 1 species